AAAUUGAAGAGUUUGAUCAUGGCUCAGAUUGAACGCUGGCGGCAGGCCUAACACAUGCAAGUCGAGCGGUAGCACAGAGAGCUUGCUCUCGGGUGACGAGCGGCGGACGGGUGAGUAAUGUCUGGGAAACUGCCUGAUGGAGGGGGAUAACUACUGGAAACGGUAGCUAAUACCGCAUAAUGUCGCAAGACCAAAGUGGGGGACCUUCGGGCCUCAUGCCAUCAGAUGUGCCCAGAUGGGAUUAGCUAGUAGGUGGGGUAACGGCUCACCUAGGCGACGAUCCCUAGCUGGUCUGAGAGGAUGACCAGCCACACUGGAACUGAGACACGGUCCAGACUCCUACGGGAGGCAGCAGUGGGGAAUAUUGCACAAUGGGCGCAAGCCUGAUGCAGCCAUGCCGCGUGUGUGAAGAAGGCCUUCGGGUUGUAAAGCACUUUCAGCGGGGAGGAAGGCGGUGAGGUUAAUAACCUCACCGAUUGACGUUACCCGCAGAAGAAGCACCGGCUAACUCCGUGCCAGCAGCCGCGGUAAUACGGAGGGUGCAAGCGUUAAUCGGAAUUACUGGGCGUAAAGCGCACGCAGGCGGUCUGUCAAGUCGGAUGUGAAAUCCCCGGGCUCAACCUGGGAACUGCAUUCGAAACUGGCAGGCUAGAGUCUUGUAGAGGGGGGUAGAAUUCCAGGUGUAGCGGUGAAAUGCGUAGAGAUCUGGAGGAAUACCGGUGGCGAAGGCGGCCCCUGGACAAAGACUGACGCUCAGGUGCGAAAGCGUGGGGAGCAAACAGGAUUAGAUACCCUGGUAGUCCACGCCGUAAACGAUGUCGAUUUGGAGGUUGUGCCCUUGAGGCGUGGCUUCCGGAGCUAACGCGUUAAAUCGACCGCCUGGGGAGUACGGCCGCAAGGUUAAAACUCAAAUGAAUUGACGGGGGCCCGCACAAGCGGUGGAGCAUGUGGUUUAAUUCGAUGCAACGCGAAGAACCUUACCUGGUCUUGACAUCCACAGAACUUUCCAGAGAUGGAUUGGUGCCUUCGGGAACUGUGAGACAGGUGCUGCAUGGCUGUCGUCAGCUCGUGUUGUGAAAUGUUGGGUUAAGUCCCGCAACGAGCGCAACCCUUAUCCUUUGUUGCCAGCGGUCCGGCCGGGAACUCAAAGGAGACUGCCAGUGAUAAACUGGAGGAAGGUGGGGAUGACGUCAAGUCAUCAUGGCCCUUACGACCAGGGCUACACACGUGCUACAAUGGCAUAUACAAAGAGAAGCGACCUCGCGAGAGCAAGCGGACCUCAUAAAGUAUGUCGUAGUCCGGAUUGGAGUCUGCAACUCGACUCCAUGAAGUCGGAAUCGCUAGUAAUCGUAGAUCAGAAUGCUACGGUGAAUACGUUCCCGGGCCUUGUACACACCGCCCGUCACACCAUGGGAGUGGGUUGCAAAAGAAGUAGGUAGCUUAACCUUCGGGAGGGCGCUUACCACUUUGUGAUUCAUGACUGGGGUGAAGUCGUAACAAGGUAACCGUAGGGGAACCUGCGGUUGGAUCACCUCCUUA
rnacentral:rRNA from 1 species